UGUAUAGUCAAGUAAUUAAGUGCAUGUGGUGGAUGCCUUGGCAGUCAGAGGCGAUGAAAGACGUGAUAGCCUGCGAAAAGCUCCGGGGAGGCGGCAAAUAUCCUUUGAUCCGGAGAUGUCUGAAUGGGGGAACCCACCUACUUUAAGGUAGGUAUUGCAACAUGAAUACAUAGUGUUGCAAGGCGAACGAGGGGAAGUGAAACAUCUCAGUACCCUUAGGAAAAGAAAUCAAUUGAGAUUCCCUCAGUAGCGGCGAGCGAACGGGGAUCAGCCCAUUAAGUUAUGUGUGUUUUAGUGGAACGCUCUGGGAAGUGCGAACGUAGAGGGUGAUAUUCCCGUACACGAAAGGGCACACAUAAUGAUGACGAGUAGGGCGAGGCACGUGAAACCUUGUCUGAAUAUGGGGGGACCAUCCUCCAAGGCUAAAUACUCCUGACUGACCGAUAGUGAACCAGUACCGUGAGGGAAAGGCGAAAAGAACCCCUGUGAGGGGAGUGAAAUAGAUCCUGAAACCGCAUGCAUACAAGCAGUGGGAGCACCUUCGUGGUGUGACUGCGUACCUUUUGUAUAAUGGGUCAGCGACUUAUAUUCAGUAGCGAGGUUAACCGUAUAGGGGAGCCGUAGAGAAAUCGAGUCUUAAUAGGGCGUUUAGUUGCUGGGUAUAGACCCGAAACCAGGCGAUCUAUCCAUGAGCAGGUUGAAGGUUGGGUAACACUAACUGGAGGACCGAACCCACUGUCGUUGAAAAGCCAGGGGAUGACUUGUGGAUAGGGGUGAAAGGCUAAUCAAGCCUGGUGAUAGCUGGUUCUCCCCGAAAGCUAUUUAGGUAGCGCCUCGGACGAAUACCAUAGGGGGUAGAGCACUGUUUCGGCUAGGGGGUCAUCCCGACUUACCAAACCGAUGCAAACUCCGAAUACCUAUGAGUACUAUCCGGGAGACAGACUGCGGGUGCUAACGUCCGUAGUCAAGAGGAAAACAAUCCAGACCGCCAGCUAAGGCCCCAAAAUCAUAGUUAAGUGGGAAACGAUGUGGGAAGGCAUAGACAGCUAGGAGGUUGGCUUAGAAGCAGCCACCCUUUAAAGAAAGCGUAAUAGCUCACUAGUCGAGUCGGCCUGCGCGGAAGAUGUAACGGGGCUAAAACUAUGUGCCGAAGCUGCGGAUGUAUACUUUGUAUACGUGGUAGGGGAGCGUUCUGUAAGCCGAUGAAGGUGUGUUGAGAAGCAUGCUGGAGGUAUCAGAAGUGCGAAUGCUGACGUGAGUAACGACAAAACGGGUGAAAAACCCGUUCGCCGAAAGACCAAGGGUUCCAGUCCAACGUUAAUCGGGGCUGGGUGAGUCGACCCCUAAGGCGAGGCCGAAAGGCGUAGUCGAUGGGAAAAUGGUUAAUAUUCCAUUACUUCUGUGUAAUGCGAUGAGAGGACGGAGAAGGCUAAAUCAGCCUGGCGUUGGUUGUCCAGGUGAAAGGAUGUAGGCAUGUAUCUUAGGCAAAUCCGGGGUACUCUAUGCUGAGAUCUGAUAGCAAGCUGUACUUGUACAGCGAAGUGGUUGAUGCCAUGCUUCCAGGAAAAGUCUCUAAGCUUCAGUUACACAGGAAUCGUACCCGAAACCGACACAGGUGGUCAGGUCGAGUAGACCAAGGCGCUUGAGAGAACUCUGCUGAAGGAACUAGGCAAAAUGGUACCGUAACUUCGGGAGAAGGUACGCUGUUGUUGGUGAUGGAACUCGCUUCCUGAGCUGACGACAGCCGCAGAAACCAGGCCGCUGCAACUGUUUAUUAAAAACAUAGCACUCUGCAAACACGAAAGUGGACGUAUAGGGUGUGAUGCCUGCCCGGUGCUGGAAGGUUAAUUGAUGGGGUUAGCGUAAGCGAAGCUCUUGAUCGAAGCCCCAGUAAACGGCGGCCGUAACUAUAACGGUCCUAAGGUAGCGAAAUUCCUUGUCGGGUAAGUUCCGACCUGCACGAAUGGCAUAAUGAUGGCGGCGCUGUCUCCAGCAGAGGCUCAGUGAAAUCGAAAUCGCUGUGAAGAUGCAGUGUACCCGCGGCUAGACGGAAAGACCCCGUGAACCUUUACUGCAGCUUGACACUGAACUUUGACCUUACUUGUGUAGGAUAGGUGGGAGGCUUUGAAGCUGGAAAGCUAAUUCCAGUGGAGCCGUCCUUGAAAUACCACCCUGGUAAUGUUGAGGUUCUAACUCUGUCCCGUGAUCCGGGACGAGGACCGUGUCUGGUGGGUAGUUUGACUGGGGCGGUCUCCUCCUAAAGAGUAACGGAGGAGUACGAAGGUGCGCUCAGCGUGGUCGGAAAUCACGCGUAGAGUAUAAAGGCAAAAGCGCGCUUAACUGCGAGACCCACAAGUCGAGCAGGUACGAAAGUAGGUCUUAGUGAUCCGGUGGUUCUGUAUGGAAGGGCCAUCGCUCAACGGAUAAAAGGUACUCUGGGGAUAACAGGCUGAUACCGCCCAAGAGUUCAUAUCGACGGCGGUGUUUGGCACCUCGAUGUCGGCUCAUCUCAUCCUGGGGCUGAAGCAGGUCCCAAGGGUAUGGCUGUUCGCCAUUUAAAGAGGUACGCGAGCUGGGUUUAGAACGUCGUGAGACAGUUCGGUCCCUAUCUACCGUGGGCGCUGGAAAUUUGAGAGGAUCUGCUCCUAGUACGAGAGGACCAGAGUGGACGAACCUCUGGUGUACCGGUUGUGACGCCAGUCGCAUCGCCGGGUAGCUAUGUUCGGAAGGGAUAACCGCUGAAAGCAUCUAAGCGGGAAGCCUACCUCAAGAUAAGAUUUCCCUAGGACUUUAUGUCCUCUAAAGAGCCGUUCGAGACUAGGACGUUGAUAGGUUGGAUGUGGAAGCAUAGUGAUAUGUGAAGCUGACCAAUACUAAUUGCUCGUGAGGCUUGACUAUACAACACCCAAGCAGUUG
rnacentral:rRNA from 1 species